AACUUUUAUUUUGUUAUAGAAGAAAAGGUCCCAGGACGUGGAUGUUCCUGUGAAGCAACAGCUAGACAUUCAAGUGUUGUAGUUUUGCUGCAUAUUGUUAAAGCAGCAAAAGACAACCAAUUGUUUGUAAGGAAUUCUUUCUUGGAUUAAAAAUGUCACCAAGACAAGUUUUUAUUCUGAUUAUACUUGGAAUAUGUUGCAACAUUUCCCAGGAGUUUGCUUUAAAGCGUAAACCAGUUGAAACAGUCACCACACCUGCGCCUCAACCCUUUGAUAUUUAUGACCAGUUGUGCAGUUACUACAGGCAGCGAUGUGACUGUGCAAGGAUUCGACAGUUUUGUGUCGACCCAUCUUGCUGCAACCAAUCACCAUUCGCUGUUAUAAGAAUGAUUGGACAGAUGAUGGCUAUCGAGGAUGAUGACGACUAAAUUACUAUUUAGGUCAUAAUGUUCUCCAGAAAACCUGUUUUUUGUAGUGAUAUACUUCCGUUAAUCUCCUGAAUUAUGUAGUGGACAUACAUUAUUUAGUCGCCUGUCUUAUGAAGUCGACAUAUACAAUCCACUGAGUAUACAUAUAUUAAUGAUUUAGCAAGUGUUUUAGUUGUAUAUAAAAUAUAUAUGUUUGGAAAUUAG